GUUUUAAUAAUUUAAAUAAAAUAUUGGUCUUGUAAACCAAAUUUAAGGUUCCCUUUUAAAACU
rnacentral:tRNA from 1 species